rnacentral:rRNA from 1 species
UCAGGAUGAACGCUAGCGGCAGGCUUAACACAUGCAAGUCGAGGGGUAUAUGUCUUCGGAUAUAGAGACCGGCGCACGGGUGCGUAACGCGUAUGCAAUCUACCUUUUACAGAGGGAUAGCCCAGAGAAAUUUGGAUUAAUACCUCAUAGUAUAGUGACUCGGCAUCGAGAUACUAUUAAAGUCACAACGGUAAAAGAUGAGCAUGCGUCCCAUUAGCUAGUUGGUAAGGUAACGGCUUACCAAGGCUACGAUGGGUAGGGGUCCUGAGAGGGAGAUCCCCCACACUGGUACUGAGACACGGACCAGACUCCUACGGGAGGCAGCAGUGAGGAAUAUUGGACAAUGGGCGCAAGCCUGAUCCAGCCAUGCCGCGUGCAGGAUGACGGUCCUAUGGAUUGUAAACUGCUUUUGUACGAGAAGAAACACUCCUUCGUGAAGGAGCUUGACGGUAUCGUAAGAAUAAGGAUCGGCUAACUCCGUGCCAGCAGCCGCGGUAAUACGGAGGAUCCAAGCGUUAUCCGGAAUCAUUGGGUUUAAAGGGUCCGUAGGCGGUUUAGUAAGUCAGUGGUGAAAGCCCAUCGCUCAACGGUGGAACGGCCAUUGAUACUGCUAAACUUGAAUUAUUAGGAAGUAACUAGAAUAUGUAGUGUAGCGGUGAAAUGCUUAGAGAUUACAUGGAAUACCAAUUGCGAAGGCAGGUUACUACUAAUGGAUGACGCUGAGGACGAAAG